rnacentral:misc_RNA from 1 species
AAGUCGUAACAAGGUUUCCGUAGGUGAACCUGCGGAAGGAUCAUUAACACUCCAAAACUUCUCAUAGCUCUGGGCAACCAGAGUUUAUGAAACCCUAUUCACCUUUUAGCGAACCCGGAGCCUUUUUGGAGGGCUUGAAGGGCAGCGCAAGCUGUUCCUUGACUCCAAAAAUGUGCUCUAUUCUCUUCUGUCCAUUUUUUUUUUAUACCCAAUCAUUAUUUUUCUUUUGUCUGACUGGAAGACCUAGUCUUCCGUUGCUCUUGGCGUUAACGCGUCGAGGCAAUGAAAAAAUCAAACAAAAAAACUAAAAAACAACUCUUAGCAACGGAUAUCUUGGUUCUC